UACGUAGGGUGCAAGCGUUAAUCGGAAUUACUGGGCGUAAAGCGUGCGCAGGCGGCUUUGCAAGACAGGUGUGAAAUCCCCGGGCUCAACCUGGGAACCGCACUUGUGACUGCAUCGCUCGAGUACGGCAGAGGGGGAUGGAAUUCCGCGUGUAGCAGUGAAAUGCGUAGAUAUGCGGAGGAACACCGAUGGCGAAGGCAGUCCCCUGGGCCUGUACUGACGCUCAUGCACGAAAGCGUGGGGAGCAAACAGGAUUAGAAACCCCAGUAGUCC
rnacentral:rRNA from 1 species